rnacentral:rRNA from 1 species
GACGAACGCUGGCGGCGUGCUUAACACAUGCAAGUCGAGCGGGAUCCAACCGGUGGCAACACCGGGGAAGAUCUAGCGGCGAACGGGUGAGUAACACGUGAGCAACCUGCCCCGAAGACUGGGAUAACACCGGGAAACCGGUGCUAAUACCGGAUGUCGUCAUUAGGCCGCAUGACCUGAUGAUGAAAGGAUUCAUCGCUUCGGGAGGGGCUCGCGGGCUAUCAGCUUGNGGUGGGGUAACGGCCUACCAAGGCGACGACGGCUAGCUGGUCUGAGAGGGCGACCGGCCACACUGGGACUGAGACACGGCCCAGACUCCUACGGGAGGCAGCAGUGGGGAAUCUUGCGCAAUGGGCGAAAGCCUGACGCAGCGACGCCGCGUGAGGGAUGACGG